GCAAUGGUGGUUCGGUGGCAGAAUUCUCCCCUUCCAUGCAGGAAACCCAGGUUCAAUUUCUGGCCAAUGCA
rnacentral:tRNA from 1 species